rnacentral:rRNA from 1 species
GUGGGGAAUAUUGGGCAAUGGGCGAAAGCCUGACCCAGCAACGACGCGUGAAGGAAGAAGGUUUUCGGAUCGUAAACUUCUAUCCUUGGUGAAGAUAAUGACGGUAGCCAAGAAGGAAGCCCCGGCUAACUACGUGCCAGCAGCCGCGGUAAUACGUAGGGGGCAAGCGUUGUCCGGAAUGAUUGGGCGUAAAGGGCGCGUAGGCGGCCCGGUAAGUCUGAAGUGAAAGUCCUGCUUUUAAGGUGGGAAUUGCUUUGGAUACUGUCGGGCUUGAGUGCAGGAGAGGUAAGCGGAAUUCCCGGUGUAGCGGUGAAAUGCGUAGAGAUCGGGAGGAACACCAGUGGCGAAGGCGGCUUACUGGACUGUAACUGACGCUGAGGCGCGAAAGUGUGGGGAGCAAACAGGAUUAGAUACCCCAGUAGUCC